rnacentral:misc_RNA from 1 species
GAUGAAGAACGUAGCGAAAUGCGAUAAGUAAUGCGAAUUGCAGAAUUUCCGUGAGUCAUCGAAUCUUUGAACGCACAUUGCGCCCAUUGGUAUUCCGAGGGGCAUGCCUGUUCGAGCGUCAUUAUAACCCCUCAAGCUCAGCUUGGUGUUGGGGCCUGCUGCACUGGCAGCCCUUAAAAUCAGUGGCGGCGCCAUCUGGCUCUAAGCGUAGUAAUUCUUCUCGCUAUGGAGUCCUGGUGGAUGCUUGCCAUCAACCCCCAAUUUUUCUAUGGUUGACCUCGGAUCAGGUAGGGAUACCCGCUGAACUUAAGCAUAUCAAUAAGCGGAGGA